rnacentral:tRNA from 1 species
UGUCUUAUAUUCAAAAAUGAUUUUAAAUUGCAAAUUUGAAGGUGCUUAAUAGCUAAGGCUU